CAUUGUGUAAGGAAACAGGAGGAAUGUAAAACAGCAAGAAGAAAGCCCCUUCCAUAGUCCUUGAGGCUCACAUUCAAGAUGAGCUAUAAGGGCUAAAGUUGGAGAUUCCUCCCAGGAGCCACAGGGCAAGAAAAUAAUGCUGAGUCCAUCUAGACAAGAUCAUGAUUCAGCAGGAUGCUGCAGUUACCACAGCAAAGACUAGAUACGCUCUGUGUAGUUCUUUUCCAGCCUGGCUCACAGUGGAACCUGUCCAGGCCCAGAAACUGACUACGGUCUUCAAAUGAGGCUUAAACUAGAACCUACCAAAUAGUUCAUUGUGUCCUCUGUGGCAUUUAAGGCCUAGUACAAAUCACCCCAAGGUUCCUACGU
rnacentral:lncRNA from 1 species